ensembl:lncRNA
GGUGUAGAUGAGGCUGGGUGUAGUCAGGCUAUAGAUGGGGGUGUAGAUGAGGCUGUUUGUAGUCAGGCUAUAGAUGGUGGUGUAGAUGAGGCUGGGUGUAGUCAUGUUAUAGAUGGUGGUGUAGAUGAGGCUGGGUGUAGUCAUGUUAUAGAUGGUGGUGUAGAUGAGGCUGGGUGUAGUCAAGUUAUAGAUGGUGGUGUAGAUGAGGCUGGGUGUAGUCAUGUUAUAGAUGGUGGUGUAGAUGAGGCUGGGUGUAGUCAGGCUAUAGAUGGUGGUGUAGGUGAGGCUGGGUGUAGUCAUGUUAUAGAUGGUGGUGUAGAUGAGGCUGGGUGUAGUCAUGUUAUAGAUGGUGGUGUAGAUGAGGCUGGGUCUAGUCAUGUUAUAGAUGAUGGUGUAGGUGAGGUUGUGUCUAGUCAGGCUAUAGAUGGGGGUGUAGAUGAGGCUGGGUGUAGUCAUGUUAUAGAUGGUGGUGUAGAUGAGGCUGGGUGUAGUCAUGUUAUAGAUGGUGGUGUAGAUGAGGCUGGGUGUAGUCAUGUUAUAGAUGGUGGUGUAGAUGAGGCUGGGUGUAGUCAUGUUAUAGAUGGUGGUGUAGAUGAGGCUGUGUCUAGUCAGGUUAUAGAUGGUGGUGUAGAUGAGGCUGUGUCUAGUCAGGUUAUAGAUGGUGGUGUAGAUGAGGCUGGGUGUAGUCAUGUUAUAGAUGGUGGUGUAGAUGAGGCUGGGUCUAGUCAUGUUACUUCCGGUGCCGACAGAGAUGGCCGCCUCGC